rnacentral:tRNA from 1 species
GCUAUUUUGGCAGAAAAGUGCUAUGGAUUUAGGAUCCAUUUAUGUAAUGAAUUUACAAAUAGUA